rnacentral:rRNA from 1 species
GACGAACGCUGGCGGCGUGCUUAACACAUGCAAGUCGAACGGAAAGGCCCCUUCGGGGGUACUCGAGUGGCGAACGGGUGAGUAACACGUGCGUAACCUGCCCUUGACUUCGGGAUAACUUCAGGAAACUGGGGCUAAUACCGGAUAGGAAUCCUUGCUGCAUGGUGGGGGUUGGAAAGCUUCGGCGGUUUUGGAUGGACUCGCGGCUUAUCAGCUUGUUGGUGUGGUAGUGGCUUACCAAGGCUUUGACGGGUAGCCGGCCUGGGAGGGCGACCGGCCACAUUGGGACUGAGAUACGGCCCAGACUCCUACGGCAGGCAGCAGUGGGGAAUAUUGCACAAUGAGCGGAGGCCUGAGGCAGCAACGCCGCGGGCGGGAUGACGGCCUUCGGGUUGGAGUCCGCAUUCAGCAGGAGCGAAGCUUGUGGUGACGGUACCUGCAGAAGAAGCACCGGCUAACUACGUG